rnacentral:rRNA from 1 species
CCGCGGGAUUAGAGUUUGAUCCUGGCUCAGGACGAACGCUGGCGGCGUGCCUAACACAUGCAAGUCGAGCGAUGCGAUUCUUCGGAAUCAAUUAGCGGCGGACGGGUGAGUAACACGUGGGUAACCUGCCUCAAAGAGGGGAAUAGCCUCCCGAAAGGGAGAUUAAUACCGCAUAAUAUGUUUUGAUCGCAUGAUCUUAACAUCAAAGGAAUUUUCUUCGGAUUAUUCCACUUUGAGAUGGACCCGCGGCGCAUUAGCUAGUUGGUGAGGUAAAGGCCCACCAAGGCAACGAUGCGUAGCCGACCUGAGAGGGUGAUCGGCCACAUUGGAACUGAGACACGGUCCAGACUCCUACGGGAGGCAGCAGUGGGGAAUAUUGCGCAAUGGGGGAAACCCUGACGCAGCAACGCCGCGUGAAUGAUGAAGGCCUUCGGGUUGUAAAGUUCUGUCUUCUGGGACGAUAAUGACGGUACCAGAGGAGGAAGCCACGGCUAACUACGUGCCAGCAGCCGCGGUAAUACGUAGGUGGCAAGCGUUGUCCGGAUUCACUGGGCGUAAAGGAUGCGUAGGCGGACAUUUAAGUCAGAUGUGAAAUACCCGAGCUUAACUUGGGUGCUGCAUUUGAAACUGGGUGUCUAGAGUGCAGGAGAGGUAAGUGGAAUUCCUAGUGUAGCGGUGAAAUGCGUAGAGAUUAGGAAGAACACCAGUGGCGAAGGCGACUUACUGGACUGUAACUGACGCUGAGGCAUGAAAGCGUGGGGAGCAAACAGGAUUAGAUACCCUGGUAGUCCACGCCGUANACGAUGAAUACUAGGUGUCGGGGGUCGAACCUCGGUGCCGCCGUUAACACAUUAAGUAUUCCGCCUGGGGAGUACGAUCGCAAGAUUAAAACUC